rnacentral:rRNA from 1 species
GACGAACGCUGGCGGCGGGCUUAACACAUGCAAGUCGAACGGAAAGGCCCCGUUGUGGGUACUGGAGAGGGGAACGUGAGAGGAACACGAGAGUAACCUGCCCUUGACUUUGGGAUAACUUCAGGAAACUGGGUCUAAUACCGGAUAGGAAUCCUUGCUGCAUGGCUUGUGUUGGAAAGCUUCGGCGGGGUUGGAUGUACCUUCUUUUUAUCAGCUGGUUGGUGGGGUAGUGGCUUACCAAGGCAUUGAUGGGGAGUCGGCCUGAGAGGGCGACCGGCCACAUUGGCACUGCGAUUAGGCCCAGCAUCAGACGGGAGGCAGGAGUAGGGAAUAUUGCACAAUGGGCGGCAGCCCGAUGCAACAACGACGCGUGCGUGAUGACUGCCUUCGGGUUGUAAGCCGCUUUCAGCAGGGGCGAAGCUUGUGGUGACGGUACCUGCAGAAGAAGCACCGGCUAACUACGUG